rnacentral:rRNA from 1 species
AAUAUUGUACAAUGGAGGAAACUCUGAUGUAGCGACGCCGCGCGAGUGAAGAAGGUCUUCGGAUCGUAAAACUCUGUCCUUGGUGAAGAAGAAAUGACGGUAGCCACGGAGGAAGCCCCGGCUAACUACGUGCCAGCAGCCGCAGUAAUACGUCGGGGGCGAGCGUUGUCCGGAUUUACUGGGUGUAAAGGGUGAGUAGGCGGUUAUAUAUGUCAGAUGUGAAAAGCUAUGGCUUAACCAUAGUUAGCAUUUGAAACUGUAUGACUUGAGUGCAGGAGAGGUAAGUGGAAUUCCUAGUGUAGCGGUGAGAUGCGUAGAUAUUAGGAGGAACACCAGUGGCGAAGGCGACUUACUGGACUGUAACUGACGCUGAGUCACGAAAGCGUGGGUAGCAAACAGG